CGUUUUUGUUCGGGUGGGUGUGGAGACCACGCUGGAGCAAAACCAGAUCACACGUGACCACGUGGGUCAUCUGUUCCAUCAGCUGCUGCAGGCUGGGAUCCUCUCCACAUCUCAGUUUUUUAAAGGGUUCUCAGAAACCCUCGAGAUAGCAGAUGAUAUGGCGAUUGACAUUCCUUAUGUAUGGCAGUACAUAGCGGAGCUCGUUAAUCCUGUGCUUCGGGAAGGAGGAAUCUCUUUGAGAGAAUUAUUAAUUGAAUUUAGCAAACCACUACUUCCUGUGGCAAGAGCCGGCAUAUUAUUUGCAGAAAUAUUGCAGCUUCUCUGCAAACAAAUGGUUCCUCCUGCUUCGCUGCUGAGACAUUCAUGUUGAGCAUCAACAAGAAGAUUGUCAACGACCACAUCACAACCUUCACCUCCGCCAUCUGCCUGAUGUUUAUCAGUGUUUCUUUUCCAUAAAUCCUGAGAGGCACCGAGGUUGAAUCCAAGAAGAAAAAAGUGUUCAGUCAAUCCCAGAGUCCUCACUCUCAUCUCAGACAUUGCUGACCAUGAGUGGAUCUAGUGCUCCCCCUCUUGUUGUGGACAAUGUGAUAAAGCCAUUCAGUUAAAACUUCUGAGGAGAAGUGGGUUCCACACACCAGCCAUCAACCAGAAAAGAGGUUCAAGCAGUCUCCAAACUCAGCACCUGUUUCAGCUCUACCAGUAAGAGUGAAGGGGCUGGAUGUUCUCUGGUUCAGGCAAACGUUCUUGUAGUUUUAUUAUCAAAAAUACCCUUAAUAUAUUACACAAAUGCUUAACGUAUAAUGUAACGUUGUGUUUUGGGAAGACUAUUUUAAGGAAUGUAGUGAUAUUUUGCAAUGAGCUCAGACAGCUAACGUGCUUCAUUUGAAGGUCAUGUUCAGUUCACUUUGUAAAAUUUUAAUGAAAUGUUUCAAAAUAUACGAUUAUUGUGUAAGUUAUAGUUAUUACAAUAAACUGUAUUUAAAUGGGUUGUGUGUUGUGGAAGGAGUUUAUAGAAUCUCUGGUAUUUAAGUCAAAGAAUC